rnacentral:RNase_P_RNA from 1 species
AAAGCAGAUCAAACGAUCGCCGGGUUAACCUGGUUGACCGGGAGGAAAGUCCGAACACCACAGGGCAGGGUGCUCCAUAACGUGGAGUCGCGGUGACGCGAAGGAAAGUGCAACAGAAAGUAUACCGCCCGGUGCUCGAAAGAGCACCAGGUAAGGGUGAAACGGUGCGGUAAGAGCGCACCAGUUCCCCGGGUGACCGGGGAAGCUUGGUAAACCCCACCCGGUGCAAGACCAAAUAGGGAAGCGUUCGAGAACGGCCCGUUCGAGCUUCCGGGUAGGUCGCAAGAGGUGGCAGGCAACUGUCAUCCUAGAUGAAUGAUCGUUACCCGAAUCAGGGAAACCGGAUUCGGGCACAAAAUUCGGCUUAUGAGCUGCUUUGGCC